CCUUAUAAUCGUUUUAUUAUUACCUUUAAGACUUUUGUAUUUUUACAAUUCAGCACCAGACAUGAGAAGAUGUUGGAGUCCUUGUGGAGCUCAGACAGUUUUAAACGGCAUGUCUGCUGGUUGUCUAUAAAGUGUAUGUGCAGGGUAGUUCUCCAGAGCCACUGUGCACUUCUGUGGGGUCUGUCCUUCCUGAGUCUUCAUUCAAAAGUCAUAACUGCUUUUGUUUGUUUGUUUGUUUGUUUGUUUGUUUGUUUGUUUGUUGCUAGCCAGAGCCUAAAUAUGCUUUUCCUAAAAACUUUGGACUUCCUUCUCUUUGGGGAAGCCUCUUUCCUCUUGUCAUGUGGUUCUUAUCAGCUGUGCCGCUGACUUCCAUGCUUAACUGAAAUGGCAUUGACUUUUCUUCCUUUUUCCUCCUCCACAGUUGCCAAGAUUUAUAGCUAUUUGCCUUGGGUUUUUAAAUCUGGAAUGAAGUUGUUCUUGACUUCCUCUUCCCCUCCCCAAAAAAAAGUUUGUAAAAGAAGCUUUGACUUAUUUCUUGUGAGACCUGGGUCAUUUUAUGGAAAUGAUCGACAUUAAAAUUGUGAUGAAGUCUUUCAGUAAUGACGUUUUGAAAUAACUAUUAUAUAUAAAAAUUGUAUUCUGCUUACUAACAUUAAACAUUUGAAUUCU
rnacentral:lncRNA from 1 species